CUCUGUUAAAUUGUUGAUUUGCAGAAAUUCACUGUACCUCAGAAAUUCUUUAGUCAUUUUUAUGUGUUGGCUGUGGUGUGGACAACAUUGUUGCUGGUCACAACUUGGUUUUAUGCAUAUAAAGAGGCACCAUUGGCCUAUGGGCCUUUACGAUACUCCACUAUUGUCAACUACUUGACUGGGGGUUCGAAUAUCCUUUCUUUUCAUAAAUCUCAUUCUUAUUUGAGCACUAUAAAAUAUAGAUACAGGGUUUGGCAAUCUGUAUUUCUGCUCUUGUUGAUGGAAGUUCAAGCAUUGAGGCGCCUUUGUGAGACAAUAUAUGUAUUCAAGUACAGUCCCUCAGCUCGGAUGCACAUUUUUGGCUACCUUACUGGCCUAUUCUUGUAAAAGCAGAGUUACAUCUUGAUGAUAAUGGUUCUAUUGCUCUUUUGCCACUUUCAGGGAACCAAAAAUCAAUCCCAUACUGACCAAACUUUGUUGUGCGACCACAUAUCGUUCAUCGAGAUAUCAAAGCUAGCAAUAUUCUCCUCGAGAAAGACUUGACACCCAAAUUUCAGAUUUUGGUCUACCAAAACUUAUCCCAGCCAACAUGACUCAUGUCAGUACCCGUGUGGCAGGAACGAUGUAAGUUCUAACAAUAAUGCAUCCAUUUUUUUAAUCCAUCUAAUCAUAAGAGUUCAUCUUCAUUACAUUCUAACAAUAGUGCAAAUAUGGACUUUACACUUUCUUAGGAAUGUCUGUGUCUGUGAGUUGAAUUUGAUAUGGAGGGAAACUAAUAUCUGUGCUGAUCUCCUAGCUAAGAAUGCAGCAGCUCGGCGUGAAACUUUUAUGCUUAUACAUGAUGCUCCCAAGACUCUUCUAAUGUUAUUGGCUAAAGAUAGGAUAAGUGUUGGGUGUUUGAGAAUGGUGCAUUUGUGAUCUUUGCUUUCUUUUGUUUUGGCUUCAGCCAUCGUUUGGGGAAAAGAAACCUUAUAAAAAAGAGAAUGUGAUAUAAAUUUCCAAGUUCGUGAUUAACUUCUUAGAACUGCAGAUUUCCCGCUCAUUACCAUUUAUGCCACACUUUCAUCAUUUGCAUCGUUGUUUAGGAUUAUUUUCUUCACCUUCUUUAUUUAUUUAUCCCUUUUCUAUUU